rnacentral:lncRNA from 1 species
GUGGGAAUCUUUUUGUGAUAAUUUAUGAUAUUUUUAUAAUAAAAAAUUAUGGUCAUGAAUACAAUAAAUUUUAGUGAAAUUAUAUUUUUUUCAUGAUUUGAUAAUUAAUUUUGACGAUGAUGCUAGAAUUGUUUCAAGGUAUAUACUUGUGGAUAUAAGAAAUUAAAAAAUAUUAGCACUUUUUAUCAUGAAUUAAUUUUAUCAAUAAUAUUUUUUGUAUUUUAUAAUAAAAUUAUAUUUUAUCAUAGAUAGAUCUCUAUUUUUUACUGAGAAUAAUAUCUCACUAUCGAAUAUUUAUUUAUUGGUAAUGCAUAUAGUUUUGUUGCAUA